GGGCGUUUGAAGAGAAGGAGGUUGAAAAGCCGGCUGAGUUGCUUGCCUAGUUGAAAGCCGGUUUCGAGAGAUCCCUGCGUGCAUAAAGAAGUGGUUACUUGAGUGGCUCGUUGCAGUUUGCCGGUCACUUCAUGGUUUCUGCAAUCUCCCUGAACACCCUUAUUACUACUACGUCCCCCGCCUGCAAACAGCAGCCGCAUCUGAACCCGACCACAACUGAUCACGUUUUCGCCGGCUGCCACAGAUAAUCUCGGCAGGGCGAUAGUUCCAUUGACAUCGCCAGACGGGCCCGGCUCUACAAGUCGCUGUAUCUAUAUAUGUACAUAUAUAGUAGAAUAAGUAUAUGUAUAUGGAGUAAUUAUCUGGGCGCCAACGCCAUACCGUCUGAUAUCGCGUGUCGGUCUGCUGAUAAUGACCAUAAAAACCCCGCCGAUUGAGAACUCCCCAAACAAAAUCCUAAAAAUAGGCAGACGAAACCUCUUCAUUAUUCCCAUGUUAAUCACCAAACAAACAGGAGAAGGGUGCCCACUUAUCAACAUCUGUUUGGUGCGGAGUCUAGACCCUGAAGAGUUUCAACAAGUCGAGUGUUUACUGUGCCCUAAUGUGUUUGAAUUUCAAUUGCGUUUUGUAAUACCCAUCGGCAGUUUGGUGAAGUAAUUAGCAAGAGACACCUUGACUUGUUGGAAAGAGAAAGAGAGAAUUUCCAAGGGGUUUUAAUUACUUUUACUUGCCUUAAAGAAGGGGGAAUGUAUAUAGGUUUUUAUAUAUUUUAUUACCUUAUCUUAUCAUAUCUUAGAUUUAAGGUUUUAAAAGCUUAAGC